rnacentral:rRNA from 1 species
UGGGGAAUCUUGCGCAAUGGGCGAAAGCCUGACGCAGCAACGCCGCGUGAGCGAAGACGGCCUUCGGGUUGUAAAGCUCUGUCAGGAGGGACGAAGCCACUCGGGUGAACAGCCCAGAGGGUGACGGUACCUCCACAGGAAGCCCCGGCUAACUACGUGCCAGCAGCCGCGGUAAUACGUAGGGGGCGAGCGUUGUCCGGAAUCAUUGGGCGUAAAGCGCGUGUAGGCGGCCGACCAAGUCCGGUGUGAAAGCUCAGGGCUCAACCCUGAGUCUGCACUGGAAACUGGCCGGCUUGAGUCCGGAAGAGGAGACUGGAAUUCCUGGUGUAGCGGUGAAAUGCGCAGAUAUCAGGAAGAACACCGGUGGCGAAGGCGGGUCUCUGGGACGGUACUGACGCUGAGACGCGAAAGCGUGGGGAGCAAACAGG